rnacentral:rRNA from 1 species
UACGGAGGGUCCGAGCGUUAUCCGGAUUUAUUGGGUUUAAAGGGUGCGCAGGCGGGGGAUUAAGUCGGCGGUGAAAUUUUGCAGCUCAACUGUAAAAGUGCCUUCGAAACUGGUUUCCUUGAGUGUAGAUGAAGUAGGCGGAAUUUGUGGUGUAGCGGUGAAAUGCAUAGAUAUCACGAGGAACUCCGAUUGCGCAGGCAGCUUACUAAACUACUACUGACGCUCAGGCACGAAGGCGUGGGGAUCAAACAGGAUUAGAUACCCGGGUAGUCCCUGA